AAUUUUGGCUGCCCCGGAUUGAUACUAAGCCAUGCGAGUCUUUGUAGCAAUACAAGGCAGACGGCUCAGUAACACGUAGUCAAUCUAACCUAUGGACGAGGAUAACCUCGGGAAACUGAGAAUAAUACUCGAUAGAUCAUAAUGCCUGGAAUGGUUUAUGGUUCAAAUGAAUUUCGCCAUAGGGUGGGACUGCGGUCUAUCAGCUUGUUGGUGAGGUAAUGGCCCACCAAGGCUAUAACAGAUACGGGCUCUGAGAGGAGAAGCCCGGAGAUGGGUACUGAGACACGGACCCAGGCCCUAUGGGGCGCAGCAGGCGAGAAAACUUUGCAAUGUGCGAAAGCACGACAAGGUUAAUCCGAGUGGUUCCUGCUAAAGGAACCUUUUGUUAGUUGUAACACCACUGAUGAAUAAGGGGUGGGCAAGUUCUGGUGUCAGCCGCCGCGGUAAAACCAGCACCUCAAGUGGUCAGGAGGAUUAUUGGGCCUAAAGCAUCCGUAGCCGGCUCUGUAAGUUUUCGGUUAAAUCUAUAUGCUCAACAUAUGGGCUGCCGGGAAUACUGCACAGCUAGGAAGUGGGAGAGGUAGACCGUACUCCGUAGGAAGGGGUUAAAAUCCUUUGAUCUAUGGAUGACCACCUUGUGGCGAAGGCCGUCCUACCAGAACACGUUCCACUGUGAGGGAA
rnacentral:rRNA from 1 species